AUUGAACGCUAGCGGGAUGCUUUACACAUGCAAGUCGAACGAGUCGCGGACGGGUGAGUAAUAUAUCGGAACUUGCCCAGUAGCGGGGGAUAACUACUCGCAAGAGUGGCUAAUACCGCAUACGAUUGUAGCCGCCGAUAUCGGAUUAGCUAGUUGGUGGGGUAAAGGCUCACCAAGGCAACAAUCCGUAGCUUGUUUGAGUGGACGACCAGCCAUACUGUGACUGCGACACGGCCCAGACUCAUACGGGAGGCCGCAGGUGGGAAUUUUGGGCAAGGGGGGAAACCCUGAUCCAGCCAUCCCGCGUGUAUGAGAAGGUCUUCGGGUUGUAAAGUACUUUUGUCAGAGAAGCGGUAUCUGCAGAAAAAGCACCGGCUAACUACGUGCCAGCAGCCGCGGUAAUUC
rnacentral:rRNA from 1 species